rnacentral:rRNA from 1 species
GGUUUCCUACGCAACGUUCAUCGGCGUAGGGUGAGUCGGCCCCUAAGGCGAGGCAGAAAUGCGUAGCUGAUGGGAAGCAGGUCAAUAUUCCUGCACCGUCGUUAGAUGCGAUGGGGGGACGGAUCGC